AGCUUAGUGCUUGCACUGAGCGGAGGAGUUGCGAACGGGUGAGUAACGCGUAGGUAACCUGCCUGGUAGCGGGGGAUAACUAUUGGAAACGAUAGCUAAUACCGCAUGAGAAUAGAUACUGCACGGUAUUUAUUUAAAAGGUGCAACAGCAUCACUACCAGAUGGACCUGCGUUGUAUUAGCUAGUAGGUAAGGUAACGGCUUACCUAGGCGACGAUACAUAGCCGACCUGAGAGGGUGAACGGCCACACUGGGACUGAGACACGGCCCAGACUCCUACGGGAGGCAGCAGUAGGGAAUCUUCGGCAAUGGGGGGAACCCUGACCGAGCAACGCCGCGUGAGUGAAGAAGGUUUUCGGAUCGUAAAGCUCUGUUGUAAGAGAAGAACAUCGCUGGGGGUGGAAAAUCCGGCGACUGACGGUAUCUUACCAGAAAGGGACGGCUAACUACGUGCCAGCAGCCGCGGUAAUACGUAGGUCCCGAGCGUUGUCCGGAUUUAUUGGGCGUAAAGCGAGCGCAGGCGGUUUGAUAAGUCAGAAGUAAAAGGCUGUGGCUCAACCAUAGUACGCUUUUGAAACUGUCAAACUUGAGUGCAGAAGGGGGGAGUGGAAUUCCAUGUGUAGCGGUGAAAUGCGUAGAUAUAUGGAGGAACACCGGUGGCGAAAGCGGCUCUCUGGUCUGUAACUGACGCUGAG
rnacentral:rRNA from 1 species